AGUGAACGCUGGCGGUAGGCCUAACACAUGCAAGUCGAACGGCAGCACAGUAAGAGCUUGCUCUUACGGGUGGCGAGUGGCGUACGGGUGAGGAAUACAUCGGAAUCUACUUUUUCGUGGGGGAUAACGUAGGGAAACUUACGCUAAUACCGCAUACGACCUACGGGUGAAAGCAGGGGAUCUUCGGACCUUGCGCGAUUGAAUGAGCCGAUGUCGGAUUAGCUAGUUGGCGGGGUAAAGGCCCACCAAGGCGACGAUCCGUAGCUGGUCUGAGAGGAUGAUCAGCCACACUAGAACUGAGACACGGUCCAGACUCCUACGGGAGGCAGCAGUGGGGAAUAUUGGACAAUGGGCGCAAGCCUGAUCCAGCCAUACCGCGUGGGUGAAGAAGGCCUUCGGGUUGUAAAGCCCUUUUGUUGGGAAAGAAAAGCAGCAGGUUAAUACCCCGCUGUUCUGACGGUACCCAAAGAAUAAGCACCGGCUAACUUCGUG
rnacentral:rRNA from 1 species